rnacentral:rRNA from 1 species
UACGAAGGGUGCAAGCGUUACUCGGAAUUACUGGGCGUAAAGCGUGCGUAGGUGGUGGUUUAAGUCUGUUGUGAAAGCCCUGGGCUCAACCUGGGAAUUGCAGUGGAUACUGGGUCACUAGAGUGUGGUAGAGGGUAGCGGAAUUCCCGGUGUAGCAGUGAAAUGCGUAGAGAUCGGGAGGAACAUCCGUGGCGAAGGCGGCUACCUGGACCAACACUGACACUGAGGCACGAAAGCGUGGGGAGCAAACAGG